GAGUCGGCACUCUAAAUCGGUGUA
rnacentral:siRNA from 1 species